rnacentral:rRNA from 1 species
ACGAACGCUGGCGGCGUGCUUAACACAUGCAAGUCGAACGGAAAGGCCCUGCUUUUGUGGGGUGCUCGAGUGGCGAACGGGUGAGUAACACGUGAGUAACCUGCCCUUGACUUUGGGAUAACUUCAGGAAACUGGGGCUAAUACCGGAUAGGAGCUCCUGCUGCAUGGUGGGGGUUGGAAAGUUUCGGCGGUUGGGGAUGGACUCGCGGCUUAUCAGCUUGUUGGUGGGGUAGUGGCUUACCAAGGCUUUGACGGGUAGCCGGCCUGAGAGGGUGACCGGCCACAGUGGGACUGAGAUACGGCCCAGACUCCUACGGGAGGCAGCAGUGGGGAAUAUUGCACAAUGGGCGGAAGCCUGAUGCAGCAACGCCGCGUGCGGGAUGACGGCCUUCGGGUUGUAACCCGCUUUCGCCUGUGACGAAGCGUGAGUGACGGUAAUGGGUAAAGAAGCACCGGCUAACUACGUG